GCCGCUGGCAACGCGCCGCUCGGCCACCCAGCCUAGGUGCUGGUGGAGCCCUGCCUGCCUUCCACAACUCCUGGAAAUUACCUGCUGGAAACGGCCUCUGUUUGCCAGGGAAAAAGGAGCUUGGACUGGCGAGUCUGACCUGUUCAUGGCAGCAACAGAUCCUGGCUAUGGCUGGAAGGGCGAAGCUCUGAAGAUGACACAAAUCUUUCAGAACUCAGCUGGCUGCUCCUGCUACCUAAAGUGCAAGUCGUUGAGGAAAUAAAUGUCUUUGCACCAUACUGUGA